GAUGAACGCUGGCGGCGUGCCUAAUACAUGCAAGUCGAGCGAACAGACGAGGAGCUUGCUCCUCUGACGUUAGCGGCGGACGGGUGAGUAACACGUGGAUAACCUACCUAUAAGACUGGGAUAACUUCGGGAAACCGGAGCUAAUACCGGAUAAUAUAUUGAACCGCAUGGUUCAAUAGUGAAAGACGGUUUUGCUGUCACUUAUAGAUGGAUCCGCGCCGCAUUAGCUAGUUGGUAAGGUAACGGCUUACCAAGGCAACGAUGCGUAGCCGACCUGAGAGAGUGAUCGGCCACACUGGAACUGAGACCCCGUCCAGACUCCUACGGGAGGCAGCAGUAGGGAAUCUUCCGCAAUGGGCGAAAGCCUGACGGAGCAACGCCGCGUGAGUGAUGAAGGUCUUCGGAUCGGAAAACUCUGUUAUUAGGGAAGAACAAAUGUGUAAGUAACUAUGCACGUCUUGACGGUACCUAGUCAGAAAGCCACGGCUAACUACGUG
rnacentral:rRNA from 1 species